rnacentral:other from 1 species
AAAGUCCUAAUGUGUUCGUCGCGUAACCUAUUGUUUUGACCGAACAAUAAGUUAUACGGGAGCCCGGGUUUUCAGACCGCGUAAAUGCCUCAUCAUGAGGACUUACAAAUGUCUGAAACAGUGCACCCACCUGCCUAGAGCGGGUUCAAAACGAAGGAAUCGACGGCAUAAUUGGGACUUUC